rnacentral:sRNA from 1 species
GUUGCUCCGGCGGCGCUCGGGGAGGGAGCCAGCAGCCUGGGGCCCAGGCCCGGGCCACCAUGGCGCUGCCUUCGGGCCCAGCCGCCCUCCGGCACACACUGCUGCUCCUGCCAGCCCUUCUGAGCUCAGGUUGUGGGGAGUUGGAGCCACAAAUAGAUGGUCAGACCUGGGCUGAGCGGGCACUUCGGGAGAAUGAACGCCACGCCUUCACCUGCCGGGUGGCAGGGGGGCCUGGCACCCCCAGAUUGGCCUGGUAUCUGGAUGGACAGCUGCAGGAGGCCAACACCUCAAGACUGCUGAGCGUGGGAGGGGAGGCCUUCUCUGGAGGCACCAGCACCUUCACAGUCACAGCCCAUCGGGCUCAGCAUGAGCUCAACUGCUCCCUGCAGGACCCCAGCAGUGGCCGAUCAGCCAACGCCUCUGUCAUCCUCAAUGUGCAAUGUGAGUGGCCCUGAGGUGGGCAGGGAGAGAGGUUCUCUGCCCAGGGACCCCCAGCACCCACCAGGCAGGUGGUCCGCAGGACAUUUAGCAGACACUGCAGCACUUUGCAAAUAUGAACUCAUUUUAUCCUCUGAGUAAUCCCAUGAGGUCAUUACUAUUGUUGUCACCAUUUUACAAAUAAGAAAACUGAGGCAGAAAGAGGUAAGCAAUCUGCCCAGGGCGAUGAUCCCACUGGUAAGAAGCAGAGCCAGGAUUCACAUCUGGGCAUUUGGCUCUAGUAUUUACACUCAUAAUCACUGUGAAAUGCUGCCUCUCUGGCAGACCAGCCAUCCUGUUCCUCAGCAUCCCCUCUGAGGAGAGGCCCAGGUCCCUGGCUCCCAUCUGGGUUUGGGAAGAA